rnacentral:tRNA from 2 species
AGUAAAGUCAGCUAAACAUUAAAGCUUUUGGGCCCAUACCCCAAACAUGUUGGUUAAAUCCCCUCCUUUACUA